ACAAUUUCUUUUCUAUUAAGUUGCUUGGUGCUACUUACUUUCUGUAUCUUUUAAUGUCACUUUUUUUAUAAUUAAUACCACCAAUUAUUUAGCAUUAUGGUUAUUUAUAUUUAAUAUAAAACAAUUUACAAAAUACCAUAAUUUAUUUUAUAUGUUUCAAAUGUUUCUUAGUUACAUGAUAAAUUUGAUAAUGUUGGCAAUACUCAGUUAAGAAAAAAAUGAGUUAAGUGGUGUAAUAUUGUUACAGUUAAAUAGUAGCAUGGUUAUUUUAAUUUAGACUGUAAUCAAAAAAAAAUAUUUAUAUCUUAAGCUUAAUGAAUAUUUACAAAAUAAGCACUAUGUGCUUAUUAUUAUUCUCAAUUAUUUAUCAUGUAUAACUGACAUAAGUGCAUUUCCCAGUGGUUUAGAGUAUAAAAUAUGUGUACAUAGAAAUUAUGAAAUGUGUACAAAAAUAACAAAUCCUAUAGUAUCAUUUUUGUAAUAUUUGUUAUAUCUAUUAAAAAAAAAAAAAAAAUCAGAAUUUUAAUGUUAUUUUUUAAUGAGUUUCUUUAUAAAAUGUUGUUGGACCUUCUCGACCCAUGAUACUUAGAUAGUCGUGUGUUUUUUUUUUUUUUUUUUUGUACAAUAUUCAUUUUUUCUUUUUAUUUUAACCUUGUAAUUUCUAAAUAAAUAAUAUAUCUUGUAUAAAAAGAAGAUAGUUUCAUUUAUUUUCAACCCUAUGUUUAGGGCUGAUGAACAAUGUAGUCAUUAUUUACAUAAAUAAAUUAUGUAUUAUUGCAUUUAAAAUUUAUAUUUUUUAUAAAUCAUUUAACAUUUGUAUUUCUUCUUUAUUAAUGUCUAAUAUAUUUAUUAUUUAAGAAUACAUUACUAUCCUUUAUACUUAAAAUGGCUUUUUAUCAUCAUAGAUCUGAUGCGAAUUAUUUAAAAUUGUAACUGUUAAUUAGCAAAAUGUAUGAAAUAAAUUAAUUUGGGACCAGUUUGGAAACAUUUGUUUUUUUAAUUAAAAAUUGAAAACUAUUUUAAAUCAAAUGCAUGAAAAUAUGAAUUUAUAUCAUUAAUUACAUUUUGCAUAUGGCUAAUAUAAAUGAUAAU